GAUGAAAGAAUUUACGCUUAUGGGUCAAUCAAAAAAACCUCAAAUCAACCCCAGAAAACAACCCAUCGGAGGAAAAAAAGAAGGCAAAGAGCAUGUACGAGCAUCUGAAUGCAAAAGACCGUAUGGUGAAGACGGCAACUGCAAGCAUGAUAACUCGCUAUAAGAAAAUAAAUAUGGGCAACUAAAAGGACCGAUUGCGCUAUCUAAAUUAGCACAUCAGUGACGCGUUGCCUUUUUCUUUAAACAAAACAAAAGGAUCCGGUAAAUAUAAUACCACCUGCAUAAUCACACUGCUAAGCACAGAGAAAGACCGUCGCCAGCCAUGUUCUGCAGCGGAGCAGAAAGUUUAAG
rnacentral:lncRNA from 1 species